rnacentral:rRNA from 1 species
CGUAACACGUAUGCAACCUACCUCUAACUGGAGAAUAGCCCAGAGAAAUCUGGAUUAAUACUCCAUAACAUUACGAGACCACAUGGUUUUGUUCUUAAAGCUUCGGCGGUUAGAGAUGGGCAUGCGGGACAUUAGUUUGUUGGUGAGGUAACGGCUCACCAAGACUACGAUGUCUAGGGGUUCUGAGAGGAUUAUCCCCCACACUGGUACUGAGACACGGACCAGACUCC